GUCUAUAUGGUUUAAAUAUAUAGUCUAACCUGCCCACUGGUAUAAAAUCUAAAGGGCCGCAGUAUCUUGACUGUGCAAAGGUAGCAUAAUCAUUAGUCUUUUAAUUGAAGACUCGUAUGAAUGGUUGGACGAGAAAUAAACUGUUUCUUUUAUACAUUUUGAAUUUAACUUUUAAGUGAAAAGGCUUAAAUACUUUAGAGGGACGAUAAGACCCUAUAAAUCUUAAUAUUUUAUUAUUAGAGAUACUAUUUAUAACGUCUAUAUAUCUUUAAUAAAAUAAUAUUCUACUGGGGCGGUAUAAAUAAAAUUAGUAACUGUUUAAUAUAAAUUCAGAAGUGCCUGAUAAUUAAUAGAUCCUUAUAUAAAGAUCAAAAGGUUAAGUUACUUUAGGGAUAACAGCGUUAUUUCUUUUAAGAGUUCAUAUCUAAAAAGAAGUUUGCGACCUCGAUGUUGAAUUAAAAUUUCUUUGUGGUUGCAGCAGCUACAAAAGAAAGUCUGUUCGACUUUUAAAAUUUUACA
rnacentral:rRNA from 1 species